rnacentral:rRNA from 1 species
ACGUCCUGACGGGAGGCAGCAGGUGGGGAAUCUUAGACAAUGGGGGAAACCCUGAUCUAGCCAUGCCGCGUGAGCGAUGAAGGCCUUAGGGUUGUAAAGCUCUUUCAGCUGGGAAGAUAAUGACGGUACCAGCAGAAGAAGCCCCGGCUAACUCCGUGCCAGCAGCCGCGGUAAUACGGAGGGGCUAGCGUUGUUCGGAAUUACUGGGCGUAAAGCGCACGUAGGCGGAUUGGUAAGUUGGGGUGAAAUCCCGGGGCUCAACCCCGGAACUGCCUCCAAAAACUCCCAGUCUUGAGGUCGAGAGAGGUGAGUGGAAUUCCGAGUGUAGAGGUGAAAUUCGUAGAUAUUCGGAGGAACACCAGUGGCGAAGGCGGCUCACUGGCUCGAUACUGACGCUGAGGUGCGAAAGCGUGGGGAGNAAACAGGAUUAGAUACCCUGGUAGGCUCUGC